ensembl:lncRNA
UUUUUUUCUUUUUUGGGCAUCCCAUGGCAUAUGCAGUUCUCAGGCCAGCGGUCAGAUGCAUGCUACAGUUGCAACCUAAGCCACAAUUUCGGCAACACCAGAUCCUUAACCCACUGCGCUGGGCUAGGGAUCGAACCUGAGUCCCAGCACUCCAGAGAUGCCACCGAUCCUGUUGCACCAUAGAGGGAACUCCUGAAUUUAUUUUCAAAACAACCAUAGAGUGAUCCUUUAAAAGCCUUCAACUGGAGUUCCCGUCGUGGCUCAGUGGUUAACGAAUCUGACCAAGAACCAUGAGGUUGCAGGUUCAAUCCCUGGCCUUGCUCAUGGGUUAAGGAUCCAGCAUUGCCAUGAGCUGUGGUGUAGGUCCCAGAGGCAGCUUGGAUCCCAUGUUGCUGUGGCUGUGUCGUAGGCCAGCAGCUGUAGCUUCGACUUGACCCCUAGCCUGGGAAUUUCCAUAUGCCUGGGGUGUAGCCCUAAAAAGAAAAAAAAAAUGUACAUUUCACUAUGGUAUGUUAAAAGGGUAAAGUUUACAAGAGGACAUCAAGAUGGGGAUUUUCAGACUCUGGUGUACGGUUGUUCCCCACCAGAGAGCUUGUGUGGAUGUUUGCAUAUGUCUCAUAAAAACCCGGUACUGUGAUGUUUUGAAGUCAUAGUGUCAUUGUCUUAAAAAAAUCACCAGUAUCCUUAUUCUGACUGCACUUCCAAUGUGCUGGCUUUCCAAUAUCACUAUGCAGUUCUCCAACACCAGCUGGUGUCCUACAACUCAACCUACUCUGACACUACCUACCAGGAGACAGCAUCAGAUCCCACACUGAAGGGCUCAGUCCUACAAGACGGCCACUCACCUCUACUUCAGAUGCCAACAGCCAAGUCCAGAUUGUUCCCCUUGGUUUUGACCGACUGGCCAUGAAUCAGAGGUUCUCAAGAUCCUCUCCUUCAGGUUGAUUAACUUGUAGAGGAAAACCAUGAAAGCAUUUUACUGGCUAGAUUACCUGUCUAUUACAAAGGAUAUUAAAUAAUACGAACCAACAGCCAGAUGAAGUGACACAUAGGGCGAGAUCCUGAACAAAGGAGCUUCUGUCCCUACAUUGUUCGGGACCUGGCAUAGUGGCACAGGAAAGCUUUCUGGUUCAUCAACCUGGAAGCUUUCCAAAUCCCGCCUUUUGGCUUUUUAUGGAGGAUAAUGGGCUUGAUUGACAAAAUUGUUGGCCAUUGGUGAUUAAACUGAAUCUUCAGGGAAUUCCCAUCAUGGCACAGCAGAAACAAAUCCGACUAGGAACCAUGAGGUUGCGGGUUCGGUCCUUGGCCUUGCUCAGUGGGUUAAGGAUCUGGCAUUGCCAUCAGCUGUGGUGUAGGUCGCAGACACAGCUCAGUUCUGGCGUUGCUGUGGCUCUGGCGUAGGCCUGAAGCUACAGCUCCAAUUAGACCCCUAGCUUGGGAACCUCCAUAUGCUGCAAGGGCGGCACUGAAAAGACAAAAAAAUUAAAAAUAAAAAAAUAAAAUAAACGGAAUCUUCAGCCCCUCCCUCCCUGGAGGUUGGGGGUGGGAUUGAAAGUCCCAAACCUCUAAUCACGUUAUUGGUUCCCCUGGCAACCAGCUGCUUUCCAAGUCACCUCAUUUACAGAACAAGAGAUACCUUUUACGGCUCUCAGCAAUAAGACAUUACAAGGUUUUUAGGAGCUCUGUGCUAGAAAUGGAAUGAAGACCAAAUGUGCAUUUCUUACCAUAAAUCACAAUAUCACAACUAUGUUGUUGAUUUAACUCCAGUUGACCUAUCAGCUAAGCCUCAUGCAUACAGUCACAGAAUGGCAAGUAGUCAUGAAUGCUCACUCAUUUUCAGAGCUACAGGGCCC